AUGAAUGGAUGGAAAGAAAAGGUACUUUCAAUGCAAGGAAAAGAAAUAUUGCUGAAGGCUGUGGGUCAAGCAAUACCUUCUUAUGCUUUGACAGUAUUUAAACUUCCCGAGACCAUACGCAACACAAUAACAGAUGCGAUUGCAGGGUUUUGGUGGGGGGGGCAGCGAGGAGAAGAAGAAAUGCAUUGGUUUGCAUGGUGGAAAUUAUGCAUCCCGAAGAGUAAAGGUGGCUUGGGGUUUAGAUACCUUCACGGUUUUAAUCUUGCUUUACUAGCAAAACGGUGUUGGUGUUUACUCCAGAAUCCUGAAUCUUUUUGUGCAAAAGUUCUAAGUGCAAAAUACUAA
rnacentral:rRNA from 1 species